rnacentral:rRNA from 1 species
CCUACGGGAGGCAGCAGUGAGGAAUAUUGGUCAAUGGACGAGAGUCUGAACCAGCCAAGUAGCGUGAAGGAUGACUGCCCUAUGGGUUGUAAACUUCUUUUAUAUGGGAAUAAAAUGUUCCACGUGUGGGAUUUUGUAUGUACCAUAUGAAUAAGGAUCGGCUAACUCCGUGCCAGCAGCCGCGGUAAUACGGAGGAUCCGAGCGUUAUCCGGAUUUAUUGGGUUUAAAGGGAGCGUAGGUGGAUUGUUAAGUCAGUUGUGAAAGUUUGCGGCUCAACCGUAAAAUUGCAGUUGAAACUGGCAGUCUUGAGUACAGUAGAGGUGGGCGGAAUUCGUGGUGUAGCGGUGAAAUGCGUAGAGAUCACGAAGAACUCCGAUUGCGAAGGCAGUUCACUGGACUGCAACUGACACUGAGGCUCGAAAGCGUGGGUAUCAAACAGGAUUAGAUACCCGAGUAGUC